ACUAUACUAUAUUUAUGAUACGUUACUUAAUUAUUAUUAUUAUUAUUAGCGAUAUUUUUGCGGUCCUGGACCGUGGUAUAUUAUUUAUUUUACAUCAGUUUAUUAUUGUAAAUUUCAUUGAUAUUGACGAUACACAAGAUAUGAAUUAUUAGUUAUUUACAAAUAUAUAAAUUAUAAUCGUAUUGUAUAGUAGUAAAAAAAAACGGUACAUAAAUAUUGUAACAUUGUAUUUGUCGACGACGCGAGUUCUCCUCUAUACAUUAUAAUAAUAAUUAUUAUUAUAAAAUAACGAAUGGUGCUAAAAAUCGACCUUAAUAAUUAGUGUUAUUAGGUUAAUCGAUAUAAUAACGACGAUAAUAUUAAAUUAUAUAAUUUUUUUUUUUUUUUAGGUUUUAGUUAUUGUACAUAAUAUUUACGUUUUAGCGGUAAUUCAAUAUUGUGCAACAUUCAUUAGAUGCAAGUGCACCGGUACUCGGGGGCGGUUUAUAGCGUAUUUCGAACCGCGUUUCUCGCUACCCGUUGUCCGGCACAUAGUAUCGCGCGUGAAAUCCCGAGAGAUCUGUUGUUUUUUUUUUUUUCGCGAGGCGCGUAUAAAUCGUCGAAAAUAAUAUUGAAAUAUCGUAAUACCGUAAUAAUAUUACGGGUACAGACACGCAAUAUCGCGCAAUAUUUACGAUAUCAUGAUGGUUGUGUGCGAGGACGCCUGCUGGCCACUGUGUAACGCGUAUAUUAUACGCGGAUGCCGUUAGUCCGCAAAAAUCCAGAAUCGUUUUUAUUUUUUUUUUGUUUUCGUUUUAAUUAUUUUUUUUUUAUGUUUACCCGAACGAUCCAACAAGAAUAUAUGUAUAUGUUAUAAUAAAAACAAUUAUGUUUCGCGAAAGUCCGUUGCGUAGUUUUUUUUUUUUUAAAAAAAAAAACGUAUCGCGUACCUAUAUACCUACUAAAAAAAUGAUACCUAUAAUAACAAUUGAUUGUGGGGGGGGUUUUUUUUUUUGUUUUGCCGUAAUAUCGGCUUCCGAUGUAUAAUUUAAUGUUGUAGUAAUAUAAAAAAAAAACCACGCUAUUUGAAUAAUAUACUUUAUUAUAGUAUCAUAUGUACCUAUUAUAAUACCCCUACAGUGUUUUUUUGUUUUCUGUUGUAAGACGAAAACCUAAAUUGGAAAUGAAAAUAAACGAUUUUA